UACGUAGGGUGCAAGCGUUGUCCGGAAUUAUUGGGCGUAAAGGGCUCGUAGGCGGUCUGUCGCGUCGGGCGUGAAAACUCAGGGCUUAACCCUGAGCCUGCUUCCGAUACGGGCAGACUAGAGGUAUGCAGGGGAGAGCGGAAUUCCUGGUGUAGCGGUGAAAUGCGCAGAUAUCAGGAGGAACACCGGUGGCGAAGGCGGUUCUCUGGGCAUUACCUGACGCUGAGGAGCGAAAGUGUGGGGAGCGAACAGG
rnacentral:rRNA from 1 species